rnacentral:rRNA from 1 species
CCUCGAAUCAGGUAGGACUACCCGCUGAACUUAA